AUGGUGGAAAAUUCACCGUCGCCAUUGCCAGAAAGAGCGAUUUAUGGCUUUGUUCUUUUCCUAAGCUCACAAUUUGGCUUCAUACUUUAUCUUGUGUGGGCUUUCAUUUCGGAAUCUUGGUUAAACUCCUUAGGUUUAACUUACUGGCCUCAAAAAUACUGGGCGGUUGCAUUGCCCGUCUACCUCCUUAUCACAGUUGUAAUUGGUUAUGUGCUCUUAUUUGGAAUCAACAUGAUGAGUACCUCUCCACUUGACUCCAUUCAUACGAUCACAGAUAACUAUGCUAAAAACCAACAGAGGAAAAACUACCAAGAGGACGCCAUCCCAGCAUUGAGAGAUGACCCCAUUAGUGAAGUAAACAAAAUGUUUUUCCUAGGAGCCAAAGAACUCAAUACCUAA
rnacentral:lncRNA from 1 species